rnacentral:misc_RNA from 1 species
AGAUGGAACCAAAUUCACAUGUUGUUUCUGGCGACAAAACAAGCAACAAGUAAUUUAUUUCAUCUAGUCGAAGUAGUCGCAAAUUCAAACAAUUAAGUCGUUUAGCAUACGCAGAACAGCAAAUGCGAGGGCCAAUGGGGCAAUAAUUCUGUGCCAGACGAUAGUCACAUAAUCAUGUCCAGCGAUAUGAAACCUUUCAGCUCGAGUUUAAAGCUAUCCGUAGCAGACGAAGACCCCAGCGAAGAUUCAUGCGGGGUGAUGUCAACGAUACAAUUGAUCGAGAAGUGUUCGAAGAAAUUGAAAGAAGCCGAAGCAACAAGAGAUACCGACACGUCCAAAUACGAGUACGUUUAAAAUAUGGCAAUUUUCCAGUGUAGACAGAGACAUCAAGAGAGAAUCGAUAUUUCUUCAUGUGGAUAGGAAGUCGAAGACUUUCUUCCUACCCUACAUCGUCGUCUUCGGACUGUUUUUGAUGGCUGCGUUGACGUCUGUAAUAUUCGGUUCGUGUUACUUUUCACAUUGCGCUUAUCUGCCCGAAGACGUGAAGCAAUCGCCGCUAAAAAUACUUGUGACAACUUUUUACAACGCCCUGGUUGACAUUUAUCUCGAACCAGUGGAGGUGGGAACCAAAUUGUAAUCGCGUGUACUCCACUCCUUAGGAAGGAAGUAUUAGUACACUCAUUUUGUACACAUUCUCCAGAAAAUUGAUAUCCUGUAACGCUAUCAUUGUGAACUUGUGUGACAAUAAAAAAAUCGUAAAGUA